GACGAACGCUGGCGGCGUGCCUAAUACAUGCAAGUAGAACGCUGAAGAGAGGAGCUUGCUCUUCUUGGAUGAGUUGCGUACGGGUGAGUAACGCGUAGGUAACCUGCCUUGUAGCGGGGGAUAACUAUUGGAAACGAUAGCUAAUACCGCAUAACAAUGGAUGACACAUGUCAUUUAUUUGAAAGGGGCAAUUGCUCCACUACAAGAUGGACCUGCGUUGUAUUAGCUAGUAGGUGAGGUAAUGGCUCACCUAGGCGACGAUACAUAGCCGACCUGAGAGGGUGAUCGGCCACACUGGGACUGAGACACGGCCCAGACUCCUACGGGAGGCAGCAGUAGGGAAUCUUCGGCAAUGGGGGCAACCCUGACCGAGCAACGCCGCGUGAGUGAAGAAGGUUUUCGGAUCGUAAAGCUCUGUUGUAAGUCAAGAACGGGUGUGAGAGUGGAAAGUUCACACUGUGACGGUAGCUUACCAGAAAGGGACGGCUAACUACGUG
rnacentral:rRNA from 1 species